rnacentral:pre_miRNA from 1 species
AAAAAAACAAACUCUGGGUUUCCAUGUCCAACUUUGACUGUCCGUCUUAUAUGAAAAUUUUUUAUAAUUUGUAUUUUCAUUGUUGUUAGAUGAUAAAACAUAAUUAAUAUUUUAUACGUGACUUGUCUUUUUAAUUUUUUUCAUAAUAUUUUCAAAUAAGACGGACGAUCGAACGUUGGACACGGAAACCAGGGUUUGUCUUUUU